rnacentral:rRNA from 1 species
GAUGAACGCUGGCGGCGUGCCUAAUACAUGCAAGUCGAGCGAAAAGAUGAGGAGCUUGCUCCUCUGACGUUAGCGGCGGACGGGUGAGUAAAACGUGGAUAACCUACCUAUAAGACUGGGAUAACUUCGGGCAACCGGAGCUAAUACCGGAUAAUAUAUUGAACCGCUUGGUUCAAUAGUUAAAGACGGUUUUGUUGUCUCUUUUAGAUGGUACUGGCUCGCAUUAGCUAGUUGGUGAGGCAACUGCUUAACAAGGCAACGAUGCGUAGCCGACCUGAGAGGGUGGUCGGCCACACUGUAACAGAGACACGGCCCAGACACCGACGGUAGGCAGCAGUAGGGAAUCUUCCGCAAUGGGCGAAAGCCGGACGUAGCAACGCCGCGGGAGGGAUGAAGGUCUUCUGAUCGGAAAACGCUGUUAGUAGGGAAGAACUAAUGUGUAAGUAACUAUGCACGUCAUGACGGUACCUAAUCAGAAAGCCACGGCUAACUACGUG